GACGUAGGGGGCAAGCGUUGUCCGGAAUUAUUGGGCGUAAAGAGCUCGUAGGCGGCUAGUUGCGUCCGCUGUGAAAUCCCGGGGCUUAACCCCGGGCGUGCAGUGGAUACGGGCUGGCUAGAGGCAGGCAGGGGAGAACGGAAUUCCCGGUGUAGCGGUGAAAUGCGCAGAUAUCGGGAGGAACACCGGUGGCGAAGGCGGUUCUCUGGGCCUGUACUGACGCUGAGGAGCGAAAGCGUGGGGAGCAAACAGG
rnacentral:rRNA from 1 species